rnacentral:rRNA from 1 species
UACGUAGGGUCCGAGCGUUUGUCCGGAAUUACUGGGCGUAAAGAGCUCGUAGGUGGUUUGUCGCGUUGUCCGUGAAAACUCACAGCUCAACUGUGGGCGUGCGGGCGAUACGGGCAGACUGGAGUACUGCAGGGGAGACUGGAAUUCCUGGUGUAGCGGUGGAAUGCGCAGAUAUCAGGAGGAACACCGGUGGCGAAGGCGGGUCUCUGGGCAGUAACUGACGCUGGAGGAGCGAAAGCGUGGGGAGCGAACAGG